rnacentral:piRNA from 1 species
AUAAAGCCUCCCAUGUUUUUCCGAUGC